AAGAAUUAUUAAUUUAGUUUUAUCUUGCUCGUUUAUUUACAUUAUUUGUAAAACAUUUGUAAGAUGAGGGAACACUGUGUGAUUUCGAGGUUAACGUGAUAUUUCAUGGCUUGACAGUUUUAAUCAGUGGAUUUUAUUGUGCCUCAAGUAAUUCCACGAGAAACCUGACAUUUCCGUGUUAAAAGCAAACCGAUAAAAUAUUAAGAGUUUAUCUACUUGUGCUGGGAUUGUCGUGAUACAAAGAUGUUGACUAUCACAAUAAAACGUGACUUGCUGUUUAAAACAUUGGACAAUGAAAAAGCAAAUGAUAGCAAGAAUAGUUUUGACCAAGGUAUACAUGCGUCCGAAGAAAUUAUCUACAAGAUUGACACACCUGCCAACAGAUAUUGUCUGUUGUGCUUGGAGCCUAAGUACUGGACUACUUAUAUCUUUGAAUAAAACAUACAAAAGAACUGCAAUUGGUAAUAAAAAGCAAAACA
rnacentral:lncRNA from 1 species